GGGCCUGAUCUGGCAUCGACGGAAGGGUACAGAGAGUGUUGAGCUCGAGCCGAGGAACGACAGUUUCCUCGUAAAUCUUUCUGUCGGCACACUACAUGCCAAAGUAGCUAAGAACGUUUGGGACACGGUCGCUUCGGCGUUCCGUCUUCCAGCGCUCGCAGUCGCUUAAACGACUGCCGCGACCAGAGCGUCCACCUGACGCGUUCUGGAUCCGCGUCCACCCGUCAAGUGUAGGUGGCGCGAGAGCGCUCCGGGUAGCGUCACCGAAGUAACGCGGAGCAACCUUACGCUCGUCAACCACGCAGUCUCUCCUUUCGGACGGCGGUUCGAUUCCGCCCAGGUCCACCA
rnacentral:tmRNA from 1 species